CAAGUCGGUCAGGCGGCCGCUCCUGGGGUAACCCAGGGGAGGAAAGUCCGGACUCCGCAGGGCAGGACGCUGGCUAACAGCCAGGGGGAGUAAUCCCACGGAAAGUGCCACAGAGAAGAGACCGCCUCAGGGGGAAAGCCCCUGGGGCAAGGGUGAAACGGUGGGGUAAGAGCCCACCGCGGUCCCGGGUGACCGGGCCGGCACGGUAAACCCCGUCCGGAGCAAGACCACAUAGGGAAGCGUUUGAGGGUGGCCCGCCCGAUGCUUCCGGGUCGGUCGCAGGAGGGGCUGGGUAACCGGCCUCCCAGAUGAAUGGCCGCGGCCCCGCCAGGGGAACAGAAUCCGGCUUACGGCUGGCUUGGCGC
rnacentral:RNase_P_RNA from 2 species